CGAACCCGAAUCCUAUAGAAUUAGAUCGAGAAUUCUUUCCCCCUCCCCAUGGAAAUCCACCCCAUAUAUGUCUCCUCCCGUCUAUGAGUGAUUCCCCUAGAAACCGUAGAUCCACGAGACCACGAUGAAGGAUUCAGUCGAGAGAUGCUCAUGAAAUCACGUCAAAGCCGAUUCGACCUGGCCGAGCUUCCCGGCGACCGAAUCAAUGGCCAGGUCACGCUGUCUGUCGCAGCGGCGGGAGGACCGUGGCGGCGCGGAGUUCCCGGUGGCAGUGGCGGCUCGAAGCUCGCUGGCGAGCGAUGGGAUGCAGAAACAGGGGGAAUCGGAAGAUCUUGCCUUCAGACUCAAUCGCGGAAUCGAUUAAGUUGAUGGCCUGGAGAGGAACUUGUGGCACGGCGGUGGGCUGGCAGUGACGACUGAAACUGCCCAUGGAGCUUCGCCAGCUUCAUGAGAAGCACUUGCGAGCCUGUUGGUUCGUAUUUCCCAGGACUGGAACAAUCUCUGAUUUGGAU